UUCCAAAAGCCAUAGCUUUUUUACUUUUCCGUUCACAUAGCUAUAUGAGGGCUUUUUUUUUUUUGCAGGACAAGAUGCAUUUUUUAAUGCCACCAUUCAUACUGUGAAUAGGAUUUUUACACACUCCAUUCUGCACUAUGCCUCGCGCAAUCGCCGAUUCCUGUUAGUGCGGCUGGAUGCCGGUAUCAUAUAGCCGGCAGAUUGUGCAUAUGGAGCGGGCUCACUGCAGAGGCCCGCUCCAUACAUCCCCUGUCACGCAAUGACAUACCUUUGCGUCAUAAUGUGUGAAGGAGUUAAUCACGUAACUACUGUUAGAUUUUUUUUUGUGGAUAUUUCUUGUGGUUGUGAUUAUAUGCUUUCAUCUUUAUCCUUCAGCUCUUUCUGAAGCGGGGAUACCCUUGGACCAACAAAAGGGCAGAAAAAGAGGCAAUAGUACGGUCUGUCCGGGCGAAAUUAAAAUUUAAAAGCGGCAUAUGGCACGACUACAAGACAAUUAAAAAAAAGUGGUGUGACCUGAAGCGCCUACACCCAGAUCAGGUCGAUGAGUAUAGUCGGCGAUUAUGCCCAGAUAAACCAGUUCCCUCGGUCCGCCACCACAAAAUAAAAACAAAUAAAAAAAUUAAAAAGAUGGCGCACAACGAGGAGGAGGUAGAAAAUGUGGAGGCGCCCAUGGAGGAUGAGGUCGAAAAUGUGCAGGCCACUUCACCCCCAGAUAUAGGUGAUACAGAGGCCACUGAGGAGGAGGCCGGACCUUCCCAGCCACCUGAUUCCGCCCCCCCAGCUCCAGAAGAGGAGGAAGAGGUGGUCUACACCCCCCCAUCGGGAGGUAGUGAACAAGGCUAUAAAGGAAUUGGAGACCACCAAAAAGGGAUUUAUUUAAGAAAAUGCAGCAUCGCUUUAAUAAGAGGAUUCGGCAAAUGGAGGAAAAACACCUUCACCAGCUCCA